GGCUUAGAUUGAACGCUGGCGGCAGGCCUAACACAUGCAAGUCGAACGGUAACAGGAAGCAGCUUGCUGCUUGCUGACGAGUGGCGGACGGGUGAGUAAUGUACUGGGAAACUGCCUGAUGGAGGGGGAUAACUACUGGAAACGGUAGCUAAUACCGCAUAACGUCGCAAGACCAAAGAGGGGGACCUUCGGGCCUCUUGCCAUCAGAUGUGCCCAGAUGGGAUUAGCUUGUUGGUGGGGUAACGGCUCACCAAGGCGACGAUCCCUAGCUGGUCUGAGAGGAUGACCAGCCACACUGGAACUGAGACACGGUCCAGACUCCUACGGGAGGCAGCAGUGGGGAAUAUUGCACAAUGGGCGCAAGCCUGAUGCAGCCAUGCCGCCGUGUAUGAAGAAGGCCUUCGGGUUGUAAAGUACUUUCAGCGGGGAGGAAGGUGUUGUGGUUAAUAACCACAGCAAUUGACGUUACCCGCAGAAGAAGCACCGGCUAACUCCGUGCCAGCCGCCGC
rnacentral:rRNA from 1 species